GACGAACGCUGGCGGCGUGCCUAAUACAUGCAAGUAGAGCGCUGAAGGAGGAGCUUGCUUCUCUGGAUGAGUUGCGAACGGGUGAGUAACGCGUAUGUAACCUGCCUGGUAGCGGGUGAUAACUAUUGGAAACGAUAGCUAAUACCGCAUAAUAGUAGAUGUUCCAUGACAUUUGCUUAAAAGGUACAAUUUCAUCACUACCUGUUGGACCCGCGUUGUAUUAGCUAGUUGGUGGGGUAAAGGCGCAACAAGGCGACGAUACAUAGCCGACCUGGGAGGGUGAUCCGCCACACUGGGACUGAGACACGGCCCAGACUCCUUCGGGGAGCAGCAGUAGGGAAACCUCGGCAAAUGGCCGAAGUCUGACCGAGCAACGGCGGGUUGGUGAAGAUGGGUUUCGGGUCGUAAAGCUCUGUUGUAAGAGAAGAACGAGUGUGAGAGUGGACAGUUCACACUGUGACGGUAUCUUACCAGAAAGGGACGGCUAACUACGUG
rnacentral:rRNA from 1 species